GACGAACGCUGGCGGCGUGCCUAAUACAUGCAAGUCGAACGAAGCUGUUUUAACUGGUGCUUGCACCGACUUAAACAACUGAGUGGCGAACGGGUGAGUAACACGUGGGUAACCUGCCCCAAAGCGGGGGAUAACAUUUGGAAACAGAUGCUGAUACCGCAUAACCACAGAAACCACAUGGUUUCUGUGUCAAAGAUGGUUUCGGCUAUCACUUUGGGAUGGACCCGCGGCGUAUUAGCUAGUUGGUAAGGUAAUGGCUUACCAAGGCAAUGAUACGUGACCGAACUGAGAGGUUGAGCGGCCACAUUGGGACUGAGACACGGCCCAAACUCCUACGGGAGGCAGCAGUAGGGAAUCUUCCACAAUGGACGAAAGUCUGAUGGAGCAACGCCGCGUGAGUGAAGAAGGUUUUCGGAUCGUAAAACUCUGUUGUCAGAGAAGAACGUGUGCGAGAGUAACUGUUCGUGCAGUGACGGUAUCUGGCCAGAAAGCCACGGCUAACUACGUGCCAGCCGCCGCCGUAA
rnacentral:rRNA from 1 species